rnacentral:rRNA from 1 species
UACGUAGGGUGCAAGCGUUAAUCGGAAUUACUGGGCGUAAAGCGUGCGCAGGCGGUUAUGCAAGACAGAUGUGAAAUCCCCGGGCUCAACCUGGGAACUGCAUUUGUGACUGCAUGGCUAGAGUACGGUAGAGGGGGAUGGAAUUCCGCGUGUAGCAGUGAAAUGCGUAGAGAUGCGGAGGAACACCGAUGGCGAAGGCAAUCCCCUGGACCUGUACUGACGCUCAUGCACGAAAGCGUGGGGAGUAAACAGG